GAGUUUGAUCGUGGCUCAGAACGAACGCUGGCGGCAUGCCUAACACAUGCAAGUCGAACGAACUCUUCGGAGUUAGUGGCGCACGGGUGCGUAACGCGUGGGAAUCUGCCCUUGGGUACGGAAUAACUCAGAGAAAUUUGUGCUAAUACCGUAUAAUGACUUCGGUCCAAAGAUUUAUCGCCCAAGGAUGAGCCCGCGUAAGAUUAGCUAGUUGGUGGGGUAAAGGCCUACCAAGGCUACGAUCUUUAGCUGGUCUGAGAGGAUGAUCAGCCACACUGGGACUGAGACACGGCCCAGACUCCUACGGGAGGCAGCAGUGGGGAAGUAUUGGACAAUGGGCGAAAGCCUGAUCCAGCAAUGCCGCGUGAGUGAUGAAGGCCUUAGGGUUGUAAAGGCUCUUUUACCCGGGUAUGAUAAAUUGACAGUACCGGGAGGAAUAAAGCUCCGGCUAACUCCGUGGCAGCCGCCGCCGUAAU
rnacentral:rRNA from 1 species